CAAAGAUGCGAGGCAGAGACAAAACCAGCUGAAUUAUGAGCAAGUGAAUAGGGAAAGAGAAAUUUGAUGUUAUGGUACAAACAAGUGAAUUGAAAGAAAUGCCUUCAGACAGUUAUGGCAUUUAUCUGAGAAUUUAUCUGAGAAAAUGAAACCAUGACCCAAAAAAAAAAAAAAACAGGCAAAAAAAAAUCUGGUGAGACAACCAUAUUUAAAGAAUUAAUUGCCUGGAAAAAAUGAUCUGUUUUUUCUUCCUUUCUCCCUAUGCUUCUUCCCCAGUCUGAUAAUGCCCAUUGAAACAAACAAAACAAAACAAAAACAAACAAGAACAACAGCAAACUCUUUCAUAAAUCUGAAAUGAACAGUCAAAAAGCAGUUAUUUAAAAUGUUCAGAAUCUGAAAGGUCAGUCUCUUUACCAACUUUACACAGAACCUGGCCUUAGAAGACACUUGGAAAACAGUCCUGCAACUUGUCAUGGUAUUGUUUUCUGCAGCUGAACAUCAUUAUCAGAUAAAGACAUCUUUUCCCAAUGAGUUCUUGUCAAGGCUGUGAUGUUGCCUGCAGUGACUACAGCUUUAUUGUAAACAUCACAGGAAAGUGAAAUGUAUGGUCUUAAAGAUGUAUUCUUAUGAAUAUAGUCAUGGUUGUUCUGAGCAUAUGCUGUAUAUCCAAAGGACAUCUGUGAUGAAUAUCUCCCAGGUGAUAAUUGUAUAAAGGACCCUCUGCUCUGAAAGGAACAGCUCCAUCACUGAAAGGUCACAACCACACACUCAGAGCGGUCUCUGCCCUCUUCCACCCCUCAGCUCACUUCUGCUUUCUGCAGCUCUCUGCUUCUCCUCAGCCAUGCACCAAGCUCCAUUUUCAACCCAUCACAAACCAGUUGUUUCUCAGGGUUACGAGGCUUCCAUGAGUUUCCUUAUUCACAUUCCUGGCAAGGAAUGGUCUUUGCUCAGUGUUCAGAAGAUGAAAUGAAAAAAAAACUACAACAACAACAAACCAC
rnacentral:lncRNA from 1 species